rnacentral:rRNA from 1 species
AUGCCAGUAAAAAAAGAUCUGCAUGCCCCCUCCCGCACCGGGUAUAUCCCAUUUAUGGGGGGGCGCUUCAAGCAACGACGAUGGCACGGUAGCGGCGGUGCAGGAGACUGCGUAGGGUGGACGCCUCGUUGGCGAUACGGUGGCGGUGGUGGAGGCGGGGGCGGUGAACGCAGUGGCCUCACUCUGCCCUUCUGCGCCGGUGGCGGAGGCGGUGGCCUGGGACGAGUCGGCCUCGCGGAACUCCUACGCGGGGACGGCUUCGGCGAAGGUGGCGCUCUCCCCGGCGAUCUUCCCCAUACACCAACUGGCGACGGCACAUUUGCGGCCGACAGAGCAGCCAUGAUGGCCAAGACGGCGAAGAGCUUGAAGAACAGUCGCAUCUUGGCCAAACAAAAUGAAACUGAACACUGCUGCUCUCGAUUGUUGUGGUCGUGGGCUGGCGGCGGCGAGAGUGGCGGUGGCGGAGGCGGAGGCGAGAAUGGUAGUGGCGGAGGCGAGAGUGGUGGUGGUGGAGGCGGCUGUUCGGGUGGAGCCCCCCUCCGGUACCGACGGUGUGGUUCUGGCGGCGGCGGAGCUUCGAGCGGUGAUCUCGAACCAAGAAGUCCCACUGAUGCUGCUGGGUGCCAACAUCUGACGGACACACCAAUGGUUAAUGUGCAUGUGCCCCCGUGUCUGCCACUGCCGACAUGGUGCCGCCUGGAUGGAGAUAACUUCAGUGGUCACCUGAUCAUCUUGGAGCCGCGUAUGAACCUCUCGGUUCUCGAUGCUUUGAUGCGAAUAGGUAUCAUCCAGGACGGCAAGGACAUGACGGAGCGCGCUCUGGAGCAGUUCGCAAAGAGGUUCAAGGGGCAGCUGCCAGAGAAGGUUAUUGCGGUCAUGAGGGCCCUGUUCAAAAUCGACAACAGUCGCUUGGUGGAGAUGGAGGAUGCUCUCACCAGCCAUGGAGGUACUGAUGGUCCGGACCACGAAUUGGUCUCUGGAGGCGCUUCGUUGCAUGCCCAGGAGUCAAGGGGUUUAAACAACCCGGAUCGUCGUGCCACGGCCAAUGAAACUAUCGUUGCGUCCUCGUGCCAUAUCGUGUGCUUGCAAGAAACUAAGCUUGCCAAUGUCAACAGCUUCACAACUGCCUUCCUGGGUGGGAAUAGGCUGAAAAGUUUUGCACAAAAACCUGUGGAUGGGACUAGAGGCGGAAUUCUGCUGCUUUGGGACUGUCUGGUGGUGGGCGUGAGAUGCAUCACCCUAUCCACGUACUGUUUGUCGGCCAUGGUACAACUUAGGGACACCAACGUGCGCUUCAAGUCAACCACGAAUAAACGGAACAUUAAUAGAAGCCGCAUCAACCGCUCCCGUGUCGCGCUCCACACUUGUGACUUGCAAGGAAUCCAUCUUCAAAAUAGACGCUUCACGUGGAGCAACGAGAGAGAGAAUCCCACCUUGUGCAAGCUGGAUACCUUCUUCUGCAAUGCCGAAUGGGACAUUCAGUUCAACACCCACUUGCUCCACGCUUUAUCAUCUUCACUCUCCGUCCAUUGCCCUCUUUUACUUGCGGAUGACAAAGGGCGCCGAAGGCCUAAUGUUUUCAAAUUCAAAAUUUUCUGGACUUCUAUGCCCGGCUUUCGCGAGGUAGUGGAAAAGGCCUGGAAUGAACCCAUCACCCACACUGAGCCAUACCAUGUGCCUCAUCACAUGCUCAAGAUCACGGGCAUCCCCUUGUUGCAGUGGAGUAGAAGGCUCUUCUCCAAAGCUAAGAUCCACCUGCACGCCGCCCUCCCCGUGGUCCUACACCUAGACAAAGCUCAGGAAGAGAGAAUUAUUUCCCUUGGGGAGCUUGAUCUACAGACAAAGCUCAAGAGGAGGAUCGACAUCCGCAAGGCCUUCGACUCGGUGAAGUGGGGAUACAUCCUUGACCUUCUCCAAAGAAGGGGAUUCCCAUGCAAAUUCCGCAAUUGGGUGAGAGCGCUCCUUCACUCGUCCUCCUCCAGGAUUCUUCUCAAUGAGGUGGCGGGGCCACCAAUCAUUCAUGGACACGGGCUGAGGCAAGGGGACCCACUGUCCCCACUCCUCUUCGGCAUCAUUAUCGACCCCCUCCAACGCAUUCUCGAAGUGGCUACAAGAAAGGGGCUUCUCCACAAGAUCAGGGGAAGGAGCACCGUAGUGAGAACUUCAUUAUAUGCAGAUGAAAAGGCGAUGUUCAUGGCACCCAUCAAGAGAGAUAUUGAUAACCUCUCCGGUAUCCUCAAAGGCUUCGGUGAGGUCACGGGCCUCCACGCCAACUUCAACAAGAGCUUGGUAGUUCCCAUUGAAUGUGCAGACAUCAACCUUGAGCAUAUCCUCCAAAGCUUACCGGCGACAAUAACAUCCUUUCCAAUGAGGUACUUGGGGUUGCCCCUCUCCGGGUGGCAACUUAAAAAGGACGAGAAGGACACCCAAUAG